UGAUACAGGGAGGUAGUGACAAUAAAUAACAAUGCCGGGUCUUAUAGAUCUGGCAAUUGGAAUGAGAACGAUUUAAAUCCCCUAACGAGGAUCAAUUGGAGGGCAAGUCUGGUGCCAGCAGCCGCGGUAAUUCCAGCUCCAAUAGCGUAUAUUAAAGUUGUUGCAGUUAAAAAGCUCGUAGUUGGAUUUCUGGCGGGAGCGAUCGGUCCUUCACUCAGUGUUGGAACCUGAUUGUCUCCUACCAUCCAUGGAGAAAACUUAUCUGGCAUUAAGUUGUCGGGUAGGCAAUCUCCAUCUUUUACUGUGAAAAAAUUAGAGUGUUCAAAGCAGGCUUAUGCCGUUGAAUAUAUUAGCAUGGAAUAAUAAGAUAGGACUAUGGUACUAUUUUGUUGGUUUGUGCACCAUGGUAAUGAUUAAUAGGGACAGUUGGGGGUAUUCGUAUUCCAUUGUCAGAGGUGAAAUUCUUGGAUUUAUGGAAGACGAACUACUGCGAAAGCAUUUACCAAGGAUGUUUUCAUUAAUCAAGAACGAAAGUUAAGGGAUCGAAGAUGAUUAGAUACCAUCGUAGUCUUAACCAUAAACUAUGCCAACUAGGGAUCGGCAGUUGUUCACAUAACACUGUCGGCACCUUAUGAGAAAUCAAAGUCUUUGGGUUCCGGGGGGAGUAUGGUCGCAAGUCUGAAACUUAAAGAAAUUGACGGAAGGGCACCACCAGGAGUGGAGCCUG
rnacentral:rRNA from 1 species